AGCUGAGGUACUCAAAGACUGAGGUACUUUAUAGCCUAGAGAAAGCUGAGGUACUCAAAGACUGAGGUACUUUACAGCCUAGAGAAAGCUGAGGUACUCAAAGUCUAUGUACUUUACAGCCUAGAGAAAGCUGAGGUACUCAAAGUCUAUGUACUUUACAGCCUAGAGAAAGCUGAGGUACUCAAAGACUGAGGUACUUUAUAGCCUAGAGAAAGCUGAGGUACUCAAAGACUGAGGUACUUUACAGCCGAGAGAAAGCUGAGGUACUCAAAGACUGAGGUACUUUACAGCCUAGAGAAAGCUGAGGUACUCAAAGACUGAGGUACUUUG
ensembl:lncRNA